AGAGGAGGAUCAAGGAACUUCGGC
rnacentral:siRNA from 1 species